UACAGAGGGGGCAAGCGUUGUUCGGAAUUACUGGGCGUAAAGGGCGCGUAGGCGGCCUUCUAAGUCGAACGUGAAAUCCCCGGGCUCAACCCGGGAACUGCGUCCGAUACUGGAAGGCUUGAAUCCGGGAGAGGGAUGCGGAAUUCCAGGUGUAGCGGUGAAAUGCGUAGAUAUCUGGAGGAACACCGGUGGCGAAGGCGGCAUCCUGGACCGGCAUUGACGCGUGAGGCGCGAAAGCCAGGGGA
rnacentral:rRNA from 1 species